rnacentral:tRNA from 1 species
GGGUCCGUAGCUCAGUUGGUUAGAGUACUACCUUGACAUGGUAGGGGGUCGGCGAUUCGAGUUCGCCCGGACCCA